rnacentral:rRNA from 1 species
GACGAACGCUGGCGGCGUGCUUAACACAUGCAAGUCGAACGGAAAGGCCCUGCUUUUGUGGGGUGCUCGAGUGGCGAACGGGUGAGUAACACGUGAGUAACCUGCCCUUGACUUUGGGAUAACUUCAGGAAACUGGGGCUAAUACCGGAUAGGAGCUCCUGCUGCAUGGUGGGGGUUGGAAAGUUUCGGCGGUUGGGGAUGGACUCGCGGCUUAUCAGCUUGUUGGUGGGGUAGUGGCUUACCAAGGCUUUGACGGGUAGCCGGUCUGAGAGGGUGACCGGCCGCAUCGGGACUGAGCUACGGCCCAGACUGCGACGGGAGGGGGCAGUGGUGAAGGUUGAACGAAGGGCGGAAGCCUUAUGCAGGAACGCCGCGUGCGGGAAGACGGCGUUCUGGUGGUAAACCGCAUGCGCCUGUCACGAAGCGUGAGUUACGGUAAUGGGUAGAGAGACACCGGCUAACGACGUG